UACGUAGGGCGCAAGCGUUAUCCGGAAUUAUUGGGCGUAAAGAGCUCGUAGGCGGUUUGUCGCGUCUGCCGUGAAAGUCCGGGGCUCAACUCCGGAUCUGCGGUGGGUACGGGCAGACUAGAGUGAUGUAGGGGAGACUGGAAUUCCUGGUGUAGCGGUGAAAUGCGCAGAUAUCAGGAGGAACACCGAUGGCGAAGGCAGGUCUCUGGGGUAUUUCUGACGCUGAGGCACGAAAGCCAGGGGAGCGAACGGG
rnacentral:rRNA from 1 species